AAUAGGAUAUUUGCUCUCUGCUAGAUACACAAACGUCAUUUUAAAUGCCCCCCUACUUAAAAUCAAUAGAUGCAAAUCACUGAAAUGGCCCCCUACUUAAAAUUAAUAGAUGCAAAUCACCUUCUCGAAAUCGAAUUAGAAGGCUUCUAUGGAGAUGAUAGGAAGCAAUACAAUCCAAACAACAUCCAAGCAGGAACUAACUUUAUUACUAAUAAUCAAGUUCCUUCCAUAGAUUUUGCUACUGUCCACUGUUACCCAGAUCAAUGGCUAUUUGAUUCAACUGGCGAAGCACAACUCUCCUUCCAUCAGUAGUGGGUGCAUCAACAUAUUUUGGACUCACUAAACAUCCUUAAGAAGCCAGUCGUAUUUGCAGAGUUUGGUAAAUUAUAUAAAGUUGCAAGCUACACCUCAUCUGAUAGAAAUCAACUCUAUAAUAUCACCUACUCUUCCAUCUAUCUAUACAUCAGCUUGCGAAGGGGGGCCUACAACUGAUGGGUUGUUCUAGCCGCUAUUAGCCAACGGAAUGGACAAUUUCCGAGAUGGAUAUGAGAUAGUGCUAGGGGAGGAACCUAACAUUACCGAAAUAAUUUCCGGACAGUCAAAGAAACUUUCCAGAUUAAACAAGCACGCUCCUGGGGAAGCAAGGAACUGAUACAAGUCAUUAGUGUGUCUAGCUAGGGAACAUAUUGGUGUUUUUUUGAAAAAAGCUACUGUAAAAUUUUCAUGUAUAUAUACAGACAUGAGGGAACCUCCUGGUUUAGGUUACCUGAAAUCGUAAUUGUUUCGAUGUUGAAACGGCCUUAA